rfam:Planctomyces sp. SH-PL62, complete genome.
GGGGGAUUAGCUCAGCUGGGAGAGCGCUUGCAUGGCAUGCAAGAGGUCAAGGGUUCAAAUCCCUUAUCCUCCA